ensembl:lncRNA
AGAUGAAAAAAUGUGCACGAGAGGAUCUUCCUUCACCACAAACAGCUCCAACAGGCUGCCUGGCUCUCUUUAUAUAUAAGGAUCGAAUCGGCAUGUCUAAUCCAAAAUGGUGUAGUUUAUGUUGGCUCUGGUUUAGGCUCGUUUGAGUCUGAUGUGAUGGAACACUCCUUCUUUAUAACGUCUGCUAGUUUAGGCUCCACCUUGGUCAGUGUGGAAAUGAAGCAGAGCACCUGCGCAUAGAGAAAGAAAAAACUCUGAGGGAGGGAGGGAAGGAUGGGAUGGAUGGAAGACAGUAUGUGUAUUAAAUAACUCAUGGAUGGAUGGAUGGAUGAGUGGGAGGGUGGAUGAGUGGGUGGAUGGAUGGAUGGGAGGGUGGAUGGAUGGAUGAGUGGGUGGAUGGAUGGAUGGAUGGGUGGAUGGAUGGGUGGAUGGAUGGAUGGAUGAAUGGGUGGAUGAAAGGAUGAGUGGGAGGGUGGAUGAAUGGGUGGGUGGAUGGGAGGGCGGAUGGAUGGAUGGGUGGAUGGAUGGAUUGGAGAGUGAGUGGAUGGAUACAUGAGAGGGUGGGUGGAUGGAUAGAUGGAUGGGUGGAUGGAUGGGUGGAUGGAUGGAUGGAUGAAUGGGUGGAUGAAAGGAUGAGUGGGAGGGUGGAUGGGUGGAUGGGAGGGCAGAUGGAUGGAUGGGUGGAUGAAAG